rnacentral:rRNA from 1 species
CGUGCAGGUGGCUCUGUAAGUUGGAUGUGAAAUUUCCCGGCUUAACCGGGAAGGGUCAUUCAAUACUGUGGGGCUUGAGGGCAGAAGAGGGGGGUGGAAUUGCCGGUGUAGUGGUGAAAUGCGUAGAGAUCGGGAGGAACACCAGUGGCGAAGGCGGCCUCCUGGGCUGUCCCUGACGCUCAGACGCGAAAGCUAGGGGAGCGAACGGGAUUAGAAACCCCGGUAGUCCUAGCUGUAAACGAUGCAGACUAGGUGUUGGCGGCUUAAACCCUGCCAGUGCCGUAGCUAACGCGUGAAGUCUGCCGCCUGGGGACUACGGCCGCAAGGCUAAA